GCCCACACAGUGACCACAGAUUGAACUAUUCUUUCGCCUUUUAUUAAAGAAUACUGUGUGUGCGGUGCAAAUAGUGCAUACACCUAUUUUUGGAGGAUACAACUUCUAGGAUGUUC
rnacentral:snRNA from 1 species